AUUGAACGCUGGCGGCAUGCCUUACACAUGCAAGUCGAACGGCAGCACGGGCUUCGGUCUGGUGGCGAGUGGCGAACGGGUGAGUAAUGUAUCGGAACGUACCUUUCAGUGGGGGAUAACGUAGCGAAAGUUACGCUAAUACCGCAUAUUCUGUGAGCAGGAAAGCAGGGGAUCGCAAGACCUUGCGCUGAUUGAGCGGCCGAUAUCAGAUUAGCUAGUUGGUGGGGUAAAAGCCUACCAAGGCGACGAUCUGUAGCGGGUCUGAGAGGAUGAUCCGCCACACUGGAACUGAGACACGGUCCAGACUCCUACGGGAGGCAGCAGUGGGGAAUUUUGGACAAUGGGGGCAACCCUGAUCCAGCCAUGCCGCGUGAGUGAAGAAGGCCUUCGGGUUGUAAAGCUCUUUCGGCCGGGAAGAAAUCGCAUGGGCUAAUACCCUGUGUGGAUGACGGUACCGGAAUAAGAAGCACCGGCUAACUACGUGCCAGCCGCCGCAGUAACAC
rnacentral:rRNA from 1 species